UACGCCGUGGCAAUGGGGUAGCCAAACUUUAAUAUUUAUCUUCGGCGAACGUUUGCAGUCGCAAACUUCCAAUGCUUGGCGACUGCGUCUAAAAUGCCGUCGCAACUAGAGAACAACUACGAGCCCAAUUCUCUUAUUAAAUCUAUUUUCUCAUAAAAAAACCCUAGCCUAUUUCUCUCAAUCCCUGUUCUCUACCGCAUCCCUCUUUCUCUUUCUCUCUGUUCUCGAUCUCACUGAAGCAGAUCGGAUCAGAACUUCCCGUCGCUGGUCCUCCGUGUUCAGUCUCUCCGCUCAGUCCUCUCUCUCUCUCGCUCAGCGGCUCAGUUGUUGUCGUUCUCUCUCUCUCUCUUAUACAUAUCACUUUGUCUCAGCGGCUCAGAACCAGAUCGGAACCGGCGGCUUCAGCUUCUUCAUCGCUCAGUAGCUCUUGCUCUCUCUUUCUCUCUGCGCGCGCGGCUGCUCUGAAGACUGAAACCAGAUCUUUCCGAACCAAAAGAAAACCCCCAAAGCCUUCUCUCUCAGCCUCUCUCACAUCUAGCCCUAAAUCGCUCUUCGUUGGGUGGAGAAAUAGAAGAGGUUGUAUAAGCUAGAGAGUUGUUGGAAAUGAAUGCUGAAGCUUUGCAAGUUGCUAAGGCAUACCGCCACCUUCUCAAAGCUGUCAAGAACCACGUUGCCAAAGAAGACACUAAGCGGCAUUUCAGAGAUUAUGUAACUGAAGAAUUUAGAUUCACAUGAAAAACCCAGAUACCAUGGAGUUUCCUACCUAAUUGAUUUUUUCCUGUGGUUUUCUUUGAAAUUUGCAGGUAUUUGAGCAAUUAUGGUUCCAGGGUAGUGGUAAACAAUUCUGGUGUGGAAGAAAACAAGGAAAAGACGGUGGUUAUCUAAAGCUUGACUUGUACGAGAAUUCUGUUAUCUAAAGUUGGGGAACUGCAUAUUUACCUUGCUAGCAAUCUAAUUUCAUGCAUAACAGAAUGUUUGCUGUAGUCUCUUCCUACUUUCAUUUUUCCUGCAGCUUUGUUGUUUUUGGGAAUUGCAGGGAUCAGCUGUGUAUAAGUUCAAGGCCUAUUGGCAAUGACGUAAUUAGCAUUUAUUUGGGAACAAUCUUCUUGCAAGGAAAGGAGAGGGCUGGAAAUCCUGAGACAUUGAGUCUAAAGCUAGGAAGUGACAUUAUUUUAACUGAAAAGGUUCAACCCUGCGGUGGUAUUUGGAGUGACAACUGCUCUUUGAAAAUGGGAAGAAGACGCCCCUUCAUACUUGCAGGAUCUCUCAUUAUCUCUGUUGCCAUGCCAUAAGUCAAUCAUUGCAAUUCUAGAGCUGCGUGCUAGGUGGGGGAACAGGAACUCAGCUAGCUUGCAUGAAUUUUGUUUUUUGGGGAAUUGCAGGUUCCAGAUGCAACUAGUGACCAUGCAUGAAAUUCGGAGAGAGUCUGUAGGAGAAGAAAGGAAUCCAGAUUCAAGCAGUGAUAGAGCAAUGGGCUGAGUUUCAAUAUGUUAUUGCAUAUUUUUGUUAAGUGUUACUCUUAGUUGUCUUCAUUAGGAACUUGAUUUUGGGCAUAUAUAACUUAAUUUGUACUUCUUCUAAUUACCUAUACUGACACUGCAACAAUUUAAUUACAUUGCAAUGAAAUAGAUGAGCUAAUGAACAAUAUAUGUGUUGUGUAUUCA